rnacentral:rRNA from 1 species
CCUACGGGUGGCAGCAGUGGGGAAUAUUGCACAAUGGGGGAAACCCUGAUGCAGCAACGCCGCGUGGGUGAAGGAGCGUUUCGGCGCGUAAAGCCCUGUCAGCGGGGAAGAAUAAAGUCGGUACCCGACCAAGAAGCCCCGGCUAAAUACGUGCCAGCAGCCGCGGAAAUACGUAGGGGGAGAACGUUAUCCGGAAUUACUGGGUGGAAAGGGUGCGUAGACGGCGAGGUAAGCCUGAAGUGGAAGCCCGCGGCCAAACCGCGGAACUGCUUAGGGAACUGUUUUGCUGGAGUAUGGGAGGGGUAAGCGGAAGUCCUGGUGUAGCGGUGAAAUGCGUAGAUAUCAGGAGGAACACCGAUGGCGAAGGCAGCUUACUGGACCAUAACUGACGUUGAGGCUCGAAAGCGUAGGGAGCGAACAGGAUUAGAUACCCUAGUAGUC